rnacentral:lncRNA from 1 species
AUAAAAUGUAGGUAAAUGCAAAGCAUUUUGAAUGAUGGAAAUGAAUCCAGUGAUUUUCUGAUAUAAGCUCUGUCAUGCGGUAGUAAGCAGCAUACUUUCAGUACUACUUUUCAGGUAGGUGUGUUUUGUGGCAGUCGGUCUCGCUACCAGAUCACGAACCAGUGCAAAGAGGCGCCUGUCCACUGAGGUCUGUGCUGGCUGGAAGUCUAAAGCAAUGGAAUACAAGUCUUAUGGGUUUUAUUUUCAUGAUACAUGCUGGACAAGAGCAAAGAGAAAAAUUCCCUUUACUUUGUCUCCUGCUUGUUUUCUCACCUGCCUCUCGUUCUUGGCAGAUGCGCAAAAGAGGCCUUGGAGGAGAGGAUCAACAGCUGCACGGCAGAGGAGAUCUAGCCUGGCUUGGUGGUGGAUGGAUAAACAUGGAUCCACUGGACACACGGAAUCAGAACAAAAGUUUAUCUCCUUGUAUAACCUCCUCGUUAUAAUUACUGAACAAAAUAACAGCAAUAAGACACGACAAAAGUUGAAAAUGAGUGCUUGCUGCAGGGACUGCUGUGCAUUUUCUGACCCAUUCACAGGUUAG